GCAUUAAGUGGACAAUCUAGGGGAAGUAAAUUGACAUGGCAUUUGGGACAGUGUCCUCAACAAUUGGGUGGACGUGAGUGUGGCUACUACGUCAUGCGUUAUAUGUACGAAAUACUUGAACAUCACCAUAGCAAUGAGGAUCUUAUUCAGGAUUUUUCAAGAACUACACCGUACACCGAGGAGGAGAUAAAUGAGAUUCGAGAUAUUUGGGCAGAGUAUUUUAUAUGUAAUGUUGAACUUUAGAUUUACACUUAGCGCAUGUUGGACUCUUGUUUUGGAUUAUAGGCUUGAAAUGAAUGAAUUUGGUUAAUUGGUGUUGGGAUGAUAAGUAUAAUGUCUAUGAUAUUGAGAUGUAAUUUAUUGGACAGGUUGUUAAUAUAAUGUCGUCAUUCCCAAUUUUAUGGGUAGGCCAAAUUACAAAGGAGACUCUGCCGAAAUUUACAUUUGCAUUAUUCAAUAAUAUUGCAUUUUAAUUUCAA